rnacentral:rRNA from 1 species
CAGCACCUCAAGUGGUCAGGAUGAUUAUUUGGCCUAAAGCGUCCGUAGCCGGCCGAGUAAGUCCCCCGUUAAAUCCAGCGUCUCAAGCGUUGGACCGCGGGAGAUACUACACGGCUAGAGAGUGGGAGAGGUCAGCGGUAUUCUGGGGGUAGGGGCGAAAUCCUUUGAUCCCCGGAGGACCACCAGUGGCGAAGGCUGCUGACUAGAACACGUCUGACGGUCAGGGACGAAAGCUGGGGUAGCGAACCGGAUUAGAUACCCGAGUAGUCC